AAAUAUGAAAUAAGCAAUGAAUUUCAUAUUCAAAAAAAAGGGCUCUGCAAGAGGACGUGCAGUGAGGGACAGAAGCACCAGCCCUCCCAUCAGUGGCUUCCACGCGCAGUGUCGGUGCAAACCACCGGUGAGGCACACUUGUGUAGUGAGCGCAGCAGCAGCAGGGCGGACGUGCAUUCCUGUCCACAGCCAUGGUGGUGAGGUCUGGCAGAAGAGCUGCAGCUCCGUGGGUGGAAAAUGUGCUUUGCUUCAUUGAGGUGAGUCACGUUGCAAGGUGCUGUCGUACGCAGAGGCCACGCUCCACAUUGGAGGGGUGACACUAAGUGAGGACCGCAACAAAUGAUGAAAUAAGGCCA
rnacentral:lncRNA from 1 species